CCUGUUAUCUCUCAGGGCUGGGGGAUUGAGCUGUACGUGUGUGAACACUGCCUGUUAUCUCUCAGGGCUGGGGGAUUGAGCUGUCCGUGUGUGAACACUGCCUGUUAUCUCUCAGGGCUGGGGGAUUGAGCUGUACGUGUCUGAACCCUGCCUGUUAUUUUUCAGGUACAUUCUGGGGCUCCACCGCGCGAUCAGAUCAGGGCUCCUUCAUGACGGACUUUCGGACGAGAGGAGUACCGGACCCUCAGGGGAGAGUGGAGACAAACUCGGUAAAGUUGGAUCUGUCUGGAAGAGAAGUGCAGGCGGAAGGUUCUGGAAGGCUCGAGCGUGCCUCCUUGAAGUCUGAGCAGUCUGUGAAAGGUACGAUUUCUAAUUCGCUAA